rnacentral:rRNA from 1 species
GGAGAAAAGGGUAGCAAUAUCCUGAGUAAACCGGCGCAAGGGUGAGUAACGCGUAGGCAACCUGCCUUUUGGACGGGAAUAACUUCGAGAAAUCGAGGCUAAUACCCGAUGAUAUUUUGCUGCGGCAUUGCAGCAAGAUCAAAGUUUGCAAGAGCGCCAAAAGAUGGGCCUGCGUCCCAUUAGGUAGUUGGCGGGGUAACAGCCCACCAAGCCGACGAUGGGUAGCUGGUCUGAGAGGACGAUCAGCCACACUGGAACUGAGACACGGUCCAGACUCCUACGGGAGGCAGCAGUGAGGAAUAUUGCGCAAUGCUCGAAAGAGUGACGCAGCGACGCCGCGUGGAGGAUGAAGGCCCUAUGGGUCGUAAACUCCUUUUGUGAGGGAAGAACGGGGUGCUACAGGCAUCCGUGACGGUACCUCAAGAAAAAGCAUCGGCUAACUACGUGCCAGCAGCCGCGGUAAUACGUAGGAUGCGAGCGUUGUCCGGAUUCACUGGGUGUAAAGGGAGCGCAGGCGGGUCAGCAAGUCAUUGGUGAAAUUCCCGGGCUCAACCCGGGGACUGCCACUGAUACUACUGAUCUUGAGUAUGGAAGAGGUUGGUGGAAUUCAUGGUGUAGCGGUGAGAUGCGUAGAUAUCAUGAAGAACACCGAUGGCGAAGGCAGCCAACUGGUCCAUUACUGACGCUCAUGCUCGAAAGCGUGGGGAUCAAACAGGAUUAGAUACCCUGGUAGUCCACGCCCUAAACGAUGGAUACUCGAUGUCGGCCCGCAAGGGUCGGUGUCCAAGCUAACGCAUUAAGUAUCCCACCUGGGGAGUACGAUCGCAAGGUUGAAACUCAAAGGAAUUGACGGGGGCCCGCACAAGCAGUGGAGCAUGUGGUUUAAUUCGAUACAACGCGAAGAACCUUACCUGGGUUUGAAAAGCUCUGUAAACCGGUGAAAGCCGGCUAGUGUAGCAAUACACGCGGAGUACAGGUGCUGCAUGGCUGUCGUCAGCUCGUGCCGUGAGGUGUUAGGUUAAGUCCUGCAACGAGCGCAACCCCUGCACUUAGUUGCCAUCAGGUCAAGCUGGGCACUCUAAGUGGACUGCCUACGCAAGUAGUGAGGAAGGUGGGGAUGACGUCAAGUCCUCAUGGCCCUUACACCCAGGGCUACACACGUGCUACAAUGGCCGCUACAACGGGUUGCAAGAUCGUAAGGUCGAGCCAAUCCCUGAAAAGCGGUCUCAGUCGGAUUGAGGGCUGCAACUCGCCCUCAUGAAGCUGGAAUUGCUAGUAAUCGCGGAUCAGCACGCCGCGGUGAAUACGUUCCCGGGCCUUGUACACACCGCCCGUCAAGCCAUGGAAGCUGGGGGUACCCGAAGUCGUUCGCCCAACCGCAAGGAGGGUAACGCCGAAGGUAAAACCAGUGACUGGGGCUAAGUCGUAACAAGGUA